rnacentral:lncRNA from 1 species
GUGCUUGGCUCUAGAACCAGCUGUGGCCAGUGGCAUGAUGGGAAAUGUGACUUCUUCAGAGGCGUGAGAAGCACAAGGACAUGAACACUUGCUUUUCCUUCUUACAGGGAACCUUCUGGCCCCCUGGGAAGGACCUUGGGCUGACCUGCUGGGCCCUGAAGUCCAUGUGCCUGAGCCCUGCUGAUGUGGGACCAGCCUCUGCCCUGAGAGAGAUUUGA